GGGCCAGAACAUUGUCCCGCGGACCUUACGCGCCCGGACGCCGGCCGAGAUCUCAAGCAAAAGCCCCAUCGCAGUAGCCGUGCCUACGGUCCCAUUGACCCCACGGCGAUGGACCUGAAUUUGCAUGAAGUCCAGUGCCAACUUGAAACGUACACAGAUGCGAAUAAUCUCCGAACACCUGAGGUUUGAAAUCCCAGAGCAAGGCGCCUUUGAUACUCCCAGUGCCUGAGGUCGGCCCCCACGCCCUGUUGUGACACACAUGCCUAAGCACUACGCCUGCAACACGCUCACACUCAGGUUUUACAUACGGGCUUCUGAAGACGGUAUCUCAACUGAAAGACCAUGUGACUCUAAUUUGAGAAUUCAAACCACUUUCUGGUCAGUGGGGGAAAUAUGUGGGGAUGAAUAAGGUGUCACACAUCCCUCAAACCCUAUCAUGCAUGCCCUGCCUUCUGUCGUUAUGGAUGGAUCAGAACAUCAUCUUAUGAUAAGUUAUCAUUCCUUUGGAUGGUUUUAAAGAGAACUUAAUCUGUGGCUAAAAAUGGAGAGAUUCUAGAAUAAAAUUUUCUCAGAACUGCCGGAAAUUUCCUAAGCUGGUCUGUCUCCCAUGCCCCAUCCCUGACUCCGGGCUGGGGACGGCAUGCCCAAAGAGUUAUAACUUGAAAUCACUGAAUGAUCGUCAUCAAAGCCCAAAGACUUUCUGGGACCAAUGUAAGCUUGUUCCGAAUGUUUGAGGCCCGGAUGUUGAUCCUAACCAGUUGAACUCUUUUUAAAGGCUUGCUGACCUUGGCUGAGAGAUUCUGGCACAGGUGCUGGAACUAGAGGUCUGCUUCUAAUGGCAUGCUUGUUCCUUUGCCACCUAAUGGGCCACCGGUCUAUCUUCUCCAGGAUAAGAGCUGGAUCUUAUUCACCGUGGUGUCCUCAGCAUUUGGCACACAAUGCAUAGCACACACUAGGUGCUCAAUAAGAAUUGAUUACAUGGAGUCAACUGAUUAUCAGGGAUUGAUGGCCUUGGAAACUUAGUCCUGAUCCCCCUUACCUCUCUGUUCAGUUACAAGGUGAGAAUGGAUGGGGGCACAGAAUACAACCAGCUGAUUAUUGCUCAGCAGCUCAGCCACAUUCAGCCAACACGCUUGGUUCUUCAAAGACUCCAUGUCAUGGUUUCAGGUGCCCUCCAGCUUUCAGAGGAGAAACAGCUACUCCCUGACUUCUGUGAACCUUUUCCUUCCUCCCAUCCUCUUUCUUUUCGUUUGUGUUUGUUUCUACCAAGCACAAGCAGUAUCAACUUUGCCUCUUAGUUUUUAUGUUUUUUUGAACUCCUGCGUUCUCCAAACGGCAGCUCUAUUGAACAUCUCCUUUCAGUCAUUUAUGAUCUAAAAUGCCUGCCAUUUGCAGUCAUGUCAUCACACAGAAAGUGAAUAAACAAGAAUUGUGUUUGUUUCCUUGCUCUGUCCCUUUUUAAAUAUCUUGGGACUGACCCUAAGUGGGUCAGUUACAUGAGAAGGGGGCUUAGGAUUGGUCAUUAAAACUAUAUUUGGAGCAUAGACUGAUAGCUACACAUCAGUUUCACCAAUAUGAUGCUGAUUCUGCAAGUUCAUGUGACAGAGAUUUAUUAAUUGCCCAACUGUCCUGGACAGGACAGGAAGGUCAAGUUGUUUGUGACAGGAGUUUACUAUCCCUGUGGCAUAACUAGAGUCUAUUCCAGGCAAUAAUCUACCGUGUAAGCAUCUGCAAUGAAAUUGGAGAUGACCGUUGGUCAAAAAAAAAAACAAUAGCCCCGUUAGAAUCUCCUAGGCUCUCUCUCAUCUUUCUUCUUUUCUCUGGUCUCUCCACUCUUCUUUUCUCAUCUCCCUCUCUUUCUUCCAAGCUGUUUUCUUGGAUUGGUUUAUGCUCCCUGAAGUCCUUGUCUCUAUUCUAGGGCUGCCCGGGAUCCAUCUUUUCCCAAGAGCCCCCUGUGCCUCCUCGAGGCUCCCUGUCUUGUCUUGCGAUAUCCUCAGUGAGAUUAGCCCACCAGGUGCUCUCUUGUUUCUUGUGCCAAAAUUUGUCUAGUGUAUUCUGUAACACACACACUGCAUUCCACUACAUACUGUCCAUGUGCAAGCAAAUGGAAUAGAGAAGGAUAGAUCAUGUGGGAUGAUAAAACAAAAUAGAAAUAUAAGUCAUGGCAAAUCAGUAUUGAAAUGCAAUAAUGAAGUACAGCAAAGGACAAGUGAAC